CGUGUAGGCGGUCAGGUAAGUGGGAUGUGAAAUGCCUCGGCUCACCCGAGGCACUGCAUUCCAAACUGCUUGGCUUGAGUAUGGGAGAGGAUGAGGGAAUUCCUGGUGUAGCGGUGAAAUGCGUAGAUAUCAGGAGGAACACCGGUGGCGAAGGCGCUCAUCUGGCCCAAUACUGACGCUGAGGCGCGAAAGCUAGGGGAGCAAACGGGAUUAGAUACCCCGGUAGUCCUAGCCGUAAACGGUGAGCACUAGGUGUUGGAGGCAUCGACCCCUCCAGUGCCGCAGCUAACGCAUUAAGUGCUCCGCCUGGGGAGUACGGCCGCAAGGUUGAA
rnacentral:rRNA from 1 species